UACGAAGGGGGCUAGCGUUGCUCGGAAUCACUGGGCGUAAAGGGUGCGUAGGCGGGUCUUUAAGUCAGGGGUGAAAUCCUGGAGCUCAACUCCAGAACUGCCUUUGAUACUGAGGAUCUUGAGUUCGGGAGAGGUGAGUGGAACUGCGAGUGUAGAGGUGAAAUUCGUAGAUAUUCGCAAGAACACCAGUGGCGAAGGCGGCUCACUGGCCCGGUACUGACGCUGAGGCACGAAAGCGUGGGGAGCGAACAGG
rnacentral:rRNA from 1 species